CAGCCUACGGGAGGCAGCAGUGGGGAAUAUUGGGCAAUGGGCGCAAGCCUGACCCAGCAACACCGCGUGAAGGAAGAAGGCUUUCGGGUUGUAAACUUCUUUUCUGAGGGACGAAGAAAGUGACGGUACCUCAGGAAUAAGCCACGGCUAACUACGUGCCAGCAGCCGCGGUAAUACGUAGGUGGCAAGCGUUAUCCGGAUUUAUUGGGUGUAAAGGGCGUGUAGGCGGGAAAGCAAGUCAGAUGUGAAAACUCAGGGCUCAACCCUGAGCCUGCAUUUGAAACUGUUUUUCUU
rnacentral:rRNA from 1 species